CAGUAGCCGCGGUAAUACGUAGGGUGCAAGCGUUAAUCGGAAUUACUGGGCGUAAAGCGUGCGCAGGCGGUGUUGUAAGACUGAUGUGAAAUCCCCGGGCUCAACCUGGGAACUGCAUUGGUGACUGCAACGCUGGAGUGCGGCAGAGGGGGAUGGAAUUCCGCGUGUAGCAGUGAAAUGCGUAGAUAUGCGGAGGAACACCGAUGGCGGAGGCAAUCCCCUGGGCCUGCACUGACGCUCAUGCACGAAAGCGUGGGGAGCAAACAGGAUUAGAUACCCGCGUAGUCCCUGUCUCUUAUAC
rnacentral:rRNA from 1 species